AGCGAACGCUGGCGGCAGGCUUAACACAUGCAAGUCGAGCGCCUGUAGCAAUACAGGAGCGGCAGACGGGAGAGUAACACGUGGGAACGUACCUUUUGGUUCGGAACAACUGAGGGAAACUUCAGCUAAUACCGGAUAAGCCCUUACGGGGAAAGAUUUAUCGCCAAGAGAUCGGCCCGCGUCUGAUUAGCUAGUUGGUGAGGUAACGGCUCACCAAGGCGACGAUCAGUAGCNGGGUCUGAGAGGAUGACCAGCCUCAUUGGGACUGAGACACGGCCCAAACUCCUACGGGAGGCAGCAGUGGGGAAUAUUGGACAAUGGGCGCAAGCCUGAUCCAGCCAUGCCGCGUGAGUGAUGAAGGCCUUAGGGUUGUAAAGCUCUUUUAGCAGGGAAGAUAAUGACGGUAGCGCGAG
rnacentral:rRNA from 1 species